AACUCAUUCAGGGAAAUUCGAUAAAAUUGGAACGAUACAAUAGAAGAUUAGGAUGGCCCUUGCGCGAUUGACAUGCUCUAAUCGAAAAAUAUUCCAAAUUUUU